rnacentral:rRNA from 1 species
UAUGAAAAUUGGUGAUUUAUAAUAACUUAUCCAAUCGCAAAGUGAAAACAGGCGGAUAAAUCAUUCAAGAUUUCUGACCUAGUCAGCCUUUCGACGGUAUGGUAUUGGCUUACCGUGGCAGUGACGGUUAACGGGGGAUUAGGGUUCGAUUCCGGAGAGGGAGCCUGAGAAACGGCUACCACAUCUAAGGAAGGCAGCAGGCGCGCAAAUUACCCAAUUCUAACAGUUUGAGAGAGGUAGUAACAAGAAAUAACAAUACAAGGCAGUUAAAAUGCUUUGUAAUUGGAAUGAUAGAAAUUUAAACCCUUUUUAAAGUAUCAAUUGGAGGGCAAGUCUGGUGCCAGCAGCCGCGGUAAUUCCAGCUCCAAUAGCGUAUAUUAAAAUUGUUGCAGUUAAAAAGCUCGUAGUUGAAGUUCUGCUGAAAGUAACCGGUCUGCUUUUAAUAAAAGUGGUAUCUUGGUAUGUAUUUAGCAAUGAUGUCCUUUGAAGUGUUUUUUACUUUAUUGUAAUAAAGCAUAUUCAGGACUUUUACUUUGAGAAAAUUAAAGUGUUUCUAGCAGGCUAACGCUUUGAAUACUGCAGCAUG